GCCGGAAUGGCUCAGUGGUAGUACGACAGCCCACCCAGCAUCCACGAGAUCUCCACUAACAAGCAAUAGGAGCGUCGCACUCGUAGACACGAUGACAUGCGAAGGCCCACGGUUCGAUCCCGUGUUUCGGCA